rnacentral:rRNA from 1 species
GAUGAACGCUGGCGGCGUGCCUAAUACAUGCAAGUCGAGCGAACAGACGAGGAGCUUGCUCCUCUGACGUUAGCGGCGGACGGGUGAGUAACACGUGGAUAACCUACCUAUAAGACUGGGAUAACUUCGGGAAACCGGAGCUAAUACCGGAUAAUAUAUUGAACCGCAUGGUUCAAUAGUGAAAGACGGUUUUGCUGUCACUUAUAGAUGGAUCCGCGCCGCAUUAGCUAGUUGGUAAGGUAACGGCUUACCAAGGCAACGAUGCGUAGCCGACCUGAGAGGGUGAUGGCCAACACUGGACCUGGAACCCGGACAAGCUCCCUAGGGGAGGCGCCAGAGGGAAUCUUCCCGCAAGGGGGGAAACCGUACGGGACCAACUCGGCGUGAUGGAUAAGGGUCUUGGUAUCGAAAAACUGUUUUAUAAGGAAAAAAAAAAUGUAAAAGAAAUUAUGCCCUUCUGGAGGUUCCUUAAUAAGAAGCCCAGGCAAACCCAGGUC